AGUGAACGCUGGCGGCAGGCCUAACACAUGCAAGUCGAACGGUAGCACAGAGGAGCUUGCUCCUUGGGUGACGAGUGGCGGACGGGUGAGGAAUACAUCGGAAUCUACCCUGUCGUGGGGGAUAACGUAGGGAAACUUACGCUAAUACCGCAUACGAACUGAGGUUGAAAGCAGGGGACCGCAAGGCCUUGCGCGAUGGGAUGAGCCGAUGUCCGAUUAGCUAGUUGGUAAGGUAAAGGCUUACCAAGGCGACGAUCGGUAGCUGGUCUGAGAGGAUGAUCAGCCACACUGGAACUGAGACACGGUCCAGACUCCUACGGGAGGCAGCAGUGGGGAAUAUUGGACAAUGGGCGCAAGCCUGAUCCAGCCAUGCCGCGUGUGUGAAGAAGGCCUUCGGGUUGUAAAGCACUUUUGUUGGGAAAGAAAAGCGGUCGGUUAAUACCCGGUCGUACUGACGGUACCCAAAGAAUAAGCACCGGCUAACUUCGUGCCAGCCGCCGCGGUAAGAC
rnacentral:rRNA from 1 species